rnacentral:rRNA from 1 species
UACGAAGGGGGCUAGCGUUGCUCGGAAUCACUGGGCGUAAAGGGUGCGUAGGCGGGUCUUUUAAGUCAGAGGUGAAAUCCUGGAGCUCAACUCCAGAACUGCCUUUGAUACUGAGGAUCUUGAGUUCGGGAGGGGUGAGUGGAACUGCGAGUGUAGAGGUGAAAUUUCGUAGAUAUUCGCAAGAACACCAGUGGCGAAGGCGGCUCACUGGCCCGAUACUGACGCUGAGGCACGAAAGCGUGGGGAGCAAACGGGGAUUAGUACCCCUGAGUCCCAGAACCA